GACGAACGCUGGCGGCGUGCCUAAUACAUGCAAGUCGAACGCACAGUUUAUACCGUUGCUUGCUACACCAUAAACUGUGAGUUGCGAACGGGUGAGUAACGCGUUGGUAACCUGCCUGGUAGCGGGGGAGAACUAUUGGAAACGUAAGCUAAUACAGCAUAAUAUUAAUUAUUGCAUGAUAAUUGAUUGAAAGAUGCAAUUGCAUCACUACCAGAUGGACCUGCGGUGUAUUAGCUAGUAGGUGAGGUAACGGCGCCCCUAGGCGACGAUACAUAGCCGACCCGAGAAGGGGGUCGGCCACACUGGGACUGGGACACGGCCCAAACUCCUUCGGGGGGCAGCAGUAGGGGAUCUUCGGCAAAGGACGGAAGUCCUACCGAGCAACGCCGCGUGGGUGGAGGAGGUUUUCGGAUCGGUAAGCCCUUGUGUAAGGGAAGAACGAAUGUUGGAGUGGAAUGUGCACGUCUUGACGGUAUCUUACCAGAAAGCCACGGCUAACUACGUG
rnacentral:rRNA from 1 species